AUGAUGGCCGCCUCCUCCUUCCUCCCGCUCCACCUCCCGGCCUCCCCCAGGCCGGCCACCGUGGCCGCGAGGGCAGCCUCGGGCGUCGCGUCGACGGUGCCCGCCGCUACGCAGACGUCGCAGCUGGAGGAGACCUUCGGCCGGAAGGGCCUCCGGUUCGGGACGGACGCCACGGGCGCGCCCACGGCGGAGCUGAGCGUGCGCAACGGCAGCUCGCUGCAGCUGCGGCUCAACGACGGGCUGGUCACGUCGUACCGGCCCAAGGUGUCCUGGGAGGGCGGGGACGGCUGCCGGGAGCUGCUGCACACCGUGGCCGGCGCCGGCGCGGUCAAGGGCGGCGUCGGGCUCGUGCUCAACGAGGCCUCCUCCUCGUCGUCCGGCGGCGCGUCACUCCUCGGCGCGUCCGAGUGGUCCGUGGCGGACGUGGACUCGGACUCAUACGACGCCGUGCAGGUGGAGCUCGGGUGCAGCGCCAAGGGGGCCAAGCUGGAGGUGUCGUACGUGGUGACGCUGUACCCGCUGAGCAUGGCGACGGCGGUGAUCGUCAAGAACAACGGGGCCAAGCCGGUGGAGCUGACGGGCGCCGUGCUGAGCCACAUCAAGUUCGACAAGCGGCGGGGCACGGCCGUGGAGGGGCUCCGCGGCUGCCCCUACUGCUCCCACCCGCCGCCGGCGUCCGGGUUCGCGCUGCUCACCCCCGCCGAGGCCAUGAAGCGGGAGGAGUCCGGGUGGUUCGGCGGCGGCGGGGAGGAGCCCCGGCAGGGCGCCUGGACCGUGGAGGAGAACCUCUACACCAUCCUCAAGAAGAAGGUGAGCAGGGUGUACGCGGCGCCGCCCGAGGAGAGGAAGAAGCGCAUCUACAGCACCGCGCCGUCCAAGUUCACCACCAUCGACCAGUCUAGCGGGCUGGGGUUCAGGCUGGUGAGGAUGGGGUUCGAGGACAUGUACCUGAGCAGCCCGGGAGGAUUGUACGAGAAGUUCGGCAACGACUACUUCCUCUGCACCGGGCCGGCGUCCAUCCUCGUGCCCGUCGUCGUCGGCCCCGGCAAGGAGUGGAGGGGCGCUCAGGUCAUCGAGCACGACAACUUGUAA
rnacentral:rRNA from 1 species